rnacentral:rRNA from 1 species
CCUACGGGAGGCAGCAGUGAGGAAUAUUGGUCAAUGGUCGCAAGUCUGAACCAGCCAAGCCGCGUGAAGGAGGACGGUACUAUGUAUUGUAAACCUCUUUUGUCAGGGGACAAAGACAGGUACGCGUCUCCGGAUGAGUGUACCUUAAGGAAAAGCAUCGGCUAACUCCGUGCCAGCAGCCGCGGUAAUACGGAGGAUUCGAGCGUUAUCCGGAUUUAUUGGGUUUAAAGGGUGCGUAGGCGGUCUGAUAAGUUAGAGGUGAACUCCCGGGGCUCAACCGCGGACCUGCCGUUGAUACUGUUCGGCUAGAGAGGAGGUGCAGUAGGCGGAAUGGAUGGUGUAGCGGUGAAAUGCUUAGAGAUCAUACAGAACACCGAUUGCGAAGGCAGCUUACCA